UACGAAGGGGGCUAGCGUUGUUCGGAAUCACUGGGCGUAAAGGGCGCGUAGGCGGCUUUAUAAGUCGGGGGUGAAAGCCUGUGGCUCAACCACAGAAUUGCCUCGAUACUGUAUGGCUUGAGACCGGAAGAGGUAAGUGGAACUGCGAGUGUAGAGGUGAAAUUCGUAGAUAUUCGCACGAACACCAGUGGCGAAGGCGGCUUACUGGUCCGGUUCUGACGCUGAGGCGCGAAAGCGUGGGGAGCAAACAGG
rnacentral:rRNA from 1 species